UACGUAGGGUGCGAGCGUUAAUCGGAAUUACUGGGCGUAAAGUGUGCGCAGGCGGCCGAGCAAGUCGAGUGUGAAAGCCCCGAGCUUAACUUGGGAACUGCGCUCGAAACUACUUGGCUAGAGUGUGGCAGAGGGAGGUGGAAUUCCACGUGUAGCGGUGAAAUGCGUAGAGAUGUGGAGGAACACCGAUGGCGGAAGGCAGCCUCCUGGGCCGAACACUGACGCCUCAUGCACGAAAGCGUGGGGAGCAAACAGG
rnacentral:rRNA from 1 species